ensembl:lncRNA
GGCUGGCACAGUGCUCCUAACGGCACCUGGAACAUAGUAAAUACUGCAUAGGAACCUCCGCACACUGUUCUUCCUGGCUGCCCCACUGGUUCCUUCUCCUCUCCAGCUGGCUAUGAUGAACUGCAAGGACAUGGAGGAGCGUACGGGUUCUGUGUAAGAUCUGGGACAGGCCCAAAGCUGCAGUUCAGGCAAGGUCCAGGUGCUGCUACUGUGGGUCCGUGGACCACACUUCACCUUAUGAGACCCUAAACAAUGAGAAUUUCUCUUUCUCACCAAUCUGUGUAAAAAGACAAAGAGAGAAACAAGUUUACCAAUAAAGGGGCCAAAGGAGAUUAGGAAGAAGAAAUGUGGGGCUGGCAAGAUGGCUCCCAGGGAGCUCUGGUUACUUGAGCUAUAGCCAUGGAAAAAUGUUAGAAGGAGAGAACCGACUC